GACAGAGGGGGCAAGCGUUGCUCGGAAUCACUGGGCGUAAAGGGCACGUAGGCGGGAUGGCAAGUCGGUCGUGAAAUCCUUCGGCUCAACCGAAGAACGUCGGCCGAUACUGCCGUUCUUGAGGGAUGCAGAGGAGAUUGGAAUUCCCGGUGUAGCGGUGAAAUGUGUAGAGAUCGGGAGGAACACCGGUGGCGAAGGCGGGUCUCUGGGCAUCUCCUGACGCUGAGGCGCGAAAGCGUGGGGAGCAAACGGG
rnacentral:rRNA from 1 species